rnacentral:rRNA from 1 species
AUUGAACGCUGGCGGCAUGCCUUACACAUGCAAGUCGAACGGCAGCGGACCUUCGGGUGCCGGCGAGUGGCGAACGGGUGAGUAAUAUAUCGGAACGUACCUUUCAGUGGGGGAUAACGUAGCGAAAGUUACGCUAAUACCGCAUAUUCUGUGAGCAGGAAAGCAGGGGAUCGCAAGACCUUGCGCUGAUUGAGCGGCCGAUAUCAGAUUAGCUAGUUGGUGAGGUAAAGGCUCACCAAGGCGACGAUCUGUAGCGGGUCUGAGAGGAUGAUCCGCCACACUGGAACUGAGACACGGUCCAGACUCCUACGGGAGGCAGCAGUGGGGAAUUUUGGACAAUGGGCGCAAGCCUGAUCCAGCCAUGCCGCGUGAGUGAAGAAGGCCUCGGUUGUAAGUACUCUUCGGUCCGGGACGGAAAGUACGCACAGGUUAAUACCCUGUCGUGGAUGACGGUACCGGAAGUAAGAAGACACCGGCUAAC